rnacentral:misc_RNA from 1 species
AAGUCGUAACAAGGUCUCCGUUGGUGAACCAGCGGAGGGAUCAUUACAGAGUUGCAAAACUCCCAACCCUUUGUGAACGAACUUGCCAGUUGCCUCGGCGGGGAGCCCCUCAGGGAGCCGACCGCCGGCGGACUGCAAACUCUUUUGAACUACCAUUCUGAUUACUUAUUCAAUAAGUUAAAACUUUCAACAACGGAUCUCUUGGUUCUG